CCUACGGGCGGCAGCAGUGGGGAAUAUUGCACAAUGGGGGAAACCCUGAUGCAGCGACGCCGCGUGAGUGAAGAAGUAAUUCGUUAUGUAAAGCUCUAUCAGCAGGGAAGAAAAUGACGGUACCUGAGUAAGAAGCCCCGGCUAACUACGUGCCAGCAGCCGCGGUAAUACGUAGGGGGCAAGCGGUAUCCGGAUUUACUGGGUGUAAAGGGAGCGUAGACGGCAGUGCAAGUCUGGAGUGAAAGGCGGGGGCUCAACCCCCGGACUGCUCUGGAAACUGUACGGCUGGAGGGGAGGAGAGGUAAGUGGGAUUCCUAGGGUAGGGGUGGAAUGCGUAGAUAUUAGGAGGAAAACCAGUGGCGAAGGCGGCUUACUGGACUGUAACUGACGUUGAGGCUCGAAAGCGUGGGGAGCAAACAGGAUUAGAUACCCCUGUAGUC
rnacentral:rRNA from 1 species